CCUACGGGCGGCUGCAGUAGGGAAUCUUCCACAAUGGACGAAAGUCUGAUGGAGCAACGCCGCGUGUGUGAUGAAGGGUUUCGGCUCGUAAAACACCGUUGUAAGAGAAGAAUGACAUUGAGAGUAACUGUUCAGUGUGUGACGGUAUCUUCACAGAAAGGACCGGCUAACUACGUGCCAGCAGCCGCGGUAAUACGUAUGUUCCAAGCGUUAUCCGGAUUUAUUGGGCGUAAAGCGAGCGCAGGCGGUUACUUAAGUCCGAAGUGAAAGCCCACAGCUUAACUGUGGAAUUGCUUUCGAAACUGGAUAACUUGAGCGCAGUAGAGGAGAGUGGAACUCCAUGUGUAGCGGUGAAAUGCGUAGAUAUAUGGAAGAACACCAGUGGCGAAGGCGGCUCUCUGGACUGUAACUGACGUUGAGGCUCGAAAGCGUGGGUAGCAAACAGGAUUAGAUACCCGGGUAGUC
rnacentral:rRNA from 1 species